UGCUGUGCAUUUCAGAGCUCAGAUCCCUGGACCCAGAGCAAUCCCCUCCAAUGACCUCCUGCUCUUAUUCUUUUAAUCCUGUGUCUGACCUGCAAAAACAGUGGCCAUGAGCUGUGAAGCCAGUUCUGAGUCAUUUUCUUAAGAAAAAAGAGGGGGAAAGAAAGACUGAACUUACACUUUUGUGUGUACUAGAAGAGAAAG